GACGAACGCUGGCGGCGUGCUUAACACAUGCCAGUCGAACAGAAAGGCCCUGCUUUUGUGGGGUGCUCGAGUGGCGAACGGGUGAGUAACACGUGAGUAACCUGCCCUUGACUUUGGGAUAACUUCAGGAAACUGGGGCUAAUACCGGAUAGGAGCUCCUGCUGCAUGGUGGGGGUUGGAAAGUUUCGGCGGUUGGGGAUGGACUCGCGGCUUAUCAGCUUGUUGGUGGGGUAGUGGCUUACCAAGGCUUUGACGGGUAGCCGGCCUGAGAGGGUGACCGGCCACAUUGGGACUGAGAUACGGCCCAGACUCCUACGGGAGGCAGCAGUGGGGAAUAUUGCACAAUGGGCGGAAGCCUGAAGCAGCAACGCCGCGUGCGGGAUGACGGCCUUCGGGUUGUAAACCGCUUUCGCCUGUGACGAAGCGUGAGUGACGGUAAUGGGUAAAGAAGCACCGGCUAACUACGUG
rnacentral:rRNA from 1 species